ensembl:lncRNA
CGUGACUUCGCCACUGUAUUCCUUUUCUCCAUUGACAUUUUGUAAAGUCAUAAUAUAAAGAGUUUUAAGCUCGGCCCAUGCCAAUUUUCGUCCAGGUAGUUGUAUUUAUAAAACAUUUGUUUCAGAGCAAACAUUUCUUUGGGAAAAUGGAAUAAAAAGCAAAGGUACGAGACUGAAUACUGACUGACUCUGAACCGCUAGGGGUCGUCGUCAGGCACGACGCGACUCUGAACCGCUAGGGAACGUCGUUAGGCACGACUCUAAAUCCCGGGCCCGAGUAGCUGGAGGUGAUGCUUCACGGCGUCGUCCCCUUAAGUGUACAUUAGAUCUCCAGCACCAUAAUGGCGAACUGCUCGUUCGGUGAAUAUGGCAGCAGAAUGGCUGAGCUUGAACACAGCCACAGUCGGCUCAGAAAAGAGACUGGAGAGAUGAGGCACUUGCUGGAGGUUGCAGAUGAGGAGGUGGCUGAACUACGCAUGGAGAAUGCAGCCCUGACAGGCAAAGUGGAAAUGCUGGAGAGUUCCCUCAGCGAUGCGGGGCACAUCCAAGUUGAGCUCCGCAGGGUCAAGAGCCUCCUCUGUGAGGAGCAGAGUAGCAACAGGAAAAGAACAAGCAACAAGGAGCAGGAGAUUCAAAAGUUGGAGGAGGAACGUAAGAUUCUGACGGAGCAGGCCAAAGGUCUAUCUGCCCAGCUGAAGGAGCUGCAGCAGCAGAGAGAGCAACGCGAGCUCAGCCAGAGUAACCUGGAGGCAGCACUGCAAAGGCUUCAGAUUAAAAUGGAAGAUAUUCGCCAGGAGCUGAAACUGAAGGAUGAGGAUAUCCACCAGCAAAACUGGCAGUUGAUGCAGCUUGAGGAGAUGAGGGAAGAGUACACAAACAUUAUACGGGACCUGCGGCUCAGGAACAAGGACCUGGAGAGCCAGGUGGAGCUCCAGCAGGAGGAGGCCGCCCGCCUGGUGAAUCACCAAUCCCCCCGCAACCCCCUCUCCAUCGCGGACGAGGUGGAGCUGCAGGCCUACCUGGCGGUGGUGGAGAAUUGUAGGCGAGAAGAGAAAGAUGAUGGGAAAAACACUGCUGUCAAGCCUUUUCCAAAGAGGUACCUUUGCAAUGUUGUUAUCAAUGUGAUCAAUGUUGAUAAUGCAGCUACAAUAUUUUCAUCCAUAACCCUCCCACUUGGCAAAUGUAUAUCACGGUCGAGGAUUUACAUUGUUGUGUCGACGUGUAACAGAAUUCUCAAUUUUAUUAAUAGGAUGACUAGUGUUCCAUAUUCUCAGAGUCUUGCUGUAUUGCAUACUUUAUUUGUUCUGGCUAUUUUGGUUAAUCUAGUCGCACAAAUCCAAUUUAAGAGAAAAAAUCUAAAGUCUGAUAGCAGACUAGCUCAACUUUGAGUUUUACGUACCAAAGUUUUACUUACCUGAUAUCUGUUUGUUACAAACGAUCUGUAAGCUUGUAAUUGGCUUACAGCGAACACAAACUCGACAACUUUUCCGUGGUAGAAAGACAAGCUAAAACAUUUUAUGCAUGCAUAAUACAUAUCCGGACUGUAUGUGCUCAGAAAAAGUGUGUGUAAUGGUCAACACCAUGUAGACUUACACUGAAAAAAAAUACACUGACAGAAGUCCUGGAGCUCCAUCCGCUUACAAACAAACCAGGGUUCGUCUUGUAGGAUUAUCUCUCGGCAACGAAGCUGGACCAACAUUUAACUAAGCCUUUUGGGUCGAUUGUUCCCCCAUCAUAUCUCAUUCCUUCCCUGUGUGUGUGUGCGUGUGUGUGAGGUUGUGUGUGUGUGGGUGUGAGUGUGUGUGUGUGUGUGUGUUUGUGUGUGUGUGUGUGUGUGUGUGUGUGAGGUUGUGUGUGUGUAAGAGGGUGUGAGAGCGUGUGUGUGUGUGUGUGCGUGAGUGUGUGUGUGUGUGAGGCUGUGUGUGGGUGUGUUUGAGGUUGUGUGUGUGUGUGUGUGUGCGUGCGUGUGUAGCCAGGGUCGUUCAGGUGGCCAGCUGCUGCACGGCGUGCUGACCAAGGGCCUCCUGGCCCUCGGAGGUGUGUCUGUCCUGGCCCUCGGAGGUCUGUCUGUCCUGGCCGUGACGGCCCCCAUGCUACUGGACAACUGGGGCUACAGCGCCGACCUUGUCUCCACCAACGACCUCUGGAAGACUGUGCAUGACUUGUUCUUGCGUAACUGUGACAAACAGUACAAGUGUUUGCCUCCAGUCUAGACUCCACCUAACUGGUAGGACUUGAAGCAGUUGUAGAAGAUUAAAUUGAAGUGUCUAACUGAGUGAAAUAUGUCUGGUUGGAGUUACCUUACAUCAUUCUUACCUGAAAUACCUCCUUCGUUCGACGUUAUUUUAUUGGAUUUUUUAUAGGCUGUUAUUGAACUGUUAUUACUAUUACUAUUACUAUUUCUAUUACUGAACCAUAUAUCAAAUGGGCAAAAAAUGUGUAAACCAACCCAUAAUAAUAAAACACAAGAGGGACAGAGAGCUCAAAUACAAACUUACAAAGGGCAUAGACUAAGUAUUAAAUCAUAGAAAUAUUCACAUCGCAUGAUUACUUGUAAUGUGAGAUAAAUAGAGAACAAAGUCCAAGUGCAUGGCGCUCUUUAAUUAGUAUUUUACGAAGGACAAAGUCUAGUACAAAAGUGUACAAAACUUUUUUCAUUAAACAUUUGGUUUACAUUGUGUAUAGUUAGUGGUUUUUGCGAACAGCAAUCAUCCCCACGACCGCGGCACCAAUCGUCAACACUGGAUGUUGCACCAAUCGCCACAACUGUGGACAGAAACACACACACACACACACACACACACACACACACACACACACACACACACACACACAUACACAAACAGAGGUGUGAUGAUAAAUAUACUGGGUACUUAUACAACUUUCUAGAAGGAAAUAUAGAAUAUAGAAAAUCAGGCACCAAAAUAAGCUAAUUCUCUGUGACACAUUUACUAUGAUGCUGUGUAGUACGUGAUACAUACAUGUUGUCCAAAAUAACAGUAUAAUACUAAUUAACUAACUAACUCAUAACGGAUUUGGUAAAUUGUGCUACACAUAGAUAAAUUUUCCCAUCCCUUGCCACCUUAUAAUGGUCGUCUACAACAUUACACACCAGGAAGACUCACCUGUCGAGAUUCACCCUUGCCGUAGUGUAGCCAUGUAGAGAAGUCUUCGCAGUUCUGUUCCAGGAGAUCGGAUUGCUUCUCUGUGCCCACCAGGCUGAGGGCUUCCUUCACGAUGACGUAGGCGUCCUGGGGUGUGUACUUGUCGUCCAUUAAAUUGUUGAUUUUCCACUUGCUAUCUUGAAUAGCAUCUUUCAGUCUUUCUUUCUUUACAAUGGCUUUCUUAUUGGUCU